AAGAGUGACUUCUGGGAAUAUCUA
rnacentral:siRNA from 1 species